rnacentral:rRNA from 1 species
UACGAAGGGGGCUAGCGUUGUUCGGAAUCACUGGGCGUAAAGCGCACGUAGGCGGAUCGAUCAGUCAGGGGUGAAAUCCCAGGGCUCAACCCUGGAACUGCCUUUGAUACUGUCGAUCUGGAGUAUGGAAGAGGUGAGUGGAAUUCCGAGUGUAGAGGUGAAAUUCGUAGAUAUUCGGAGGAACACCAGUGGCGAAGGCGGCUCACUGGUCCAUUACUGACGCUGAGGUGCGAAAGCGUAGGGAGCAAACAGG